CUUCUUCGAUCGCCCCCGCUCGCAAAUCGCAAUGGCUCUGCUCUCAUCCAAUCUCCUAGCAUUAAACACAAUAAAUCCGUCUUCAAGGCAAUAGAAACUGCUCCGAAAAUUUCUUCCGCCGCCGCCGUCUUAAAGGGCCGCGAUGGUGCUGUCCGCCCCCACAACGAACUGGCCAAGCUACGCCGCUGCAGCCAAGACGGGCAGCUGCUUGAACGCCGGUUCAUCUCCGCCUACGGAAGUUGUCGCGGCUCCGGAUUUCGGCUGCUACCCCAGGCCCUACGGUUUUCUUGGAAUUGAUUUCGGAUUGAUUUGUACACCUGUUCAUCAUCCACAGUGUACACUGCAUUCUUCAACUGGUUGAUCUCCGCGUACGGAAUUUAUUGGUACAUGCCCAGCUUUUGGCCAACUUUGUGAAGGCAAGGUACCGUAAUUACGGCUGACCACAUUAAGGACACCGCAACAUCCCUCUAUAUAACAGAACACCAACAAUACCAAUUUAUCUGUCCAUAUCAACAUACAUAACCAACUUUCAACCCGGAGGCUUCACCCAUCACCCGGCACAUGGACCAACAAGGAGGAAAAAACAGCACGCCAAUGAGGCCUGCCGCGUCCGUACUUCCAUCGGCACCAAACCGUCAAAGAGAAGCUAACAAGAUGUACAUUAAAGCAAUAGAAGAACUCAAGAACAUCAAACGACCACUGCAUAUAACUUUACAGGAGGGUGACCAAGGGGAGCCUUCACGUGCUGACAUGAAAAACAUACUUGGAAAAGAUGAGUUCUUCACAAUGGAGUACAUCAAAGAAGGAAAGAUACAAGUGACAGCUAUCAUUUCUGCUGAGUAUUUUUUUUAGAAAGGCAAUAAGUAGUUACCAAUUCAAUAAUCAGGUCCUCACAUCAU